CUGGAUUUCUUGGCUGUUACCUUAGUAUUAGUUCUUGAUUGCAGCAUAUCAACCUUGUUAACAGCCCUCAACCCAUUGUGAGUCAGAGCAUGGUUCCUCAGCCCUAUCUGUGACAAGUUGGCUCUGGUGUCUACAGAGGCUGCUCCACUGCAGACAUUUGAGCUUCUUGACACAAAGUGUGAAGCUGUGAUGCUUGCCAUGUGUGAUACCGCGGUCUACAAGAAGGGAGGGGGUAUAUUAACGUUCAGAAUGAGAAUCUACGAGAGAAUAAGCUACAGUCUAAUACCAACUUAAAGGAACAGCAUAGCAUUGCAAAACUUUGUUUUAUAUUUUACCCUCCAGAAAUUGAUUUCUGACAUAAAUGCACUUAAGAAAGAGUCUUCACGUUUAUCAUUGAUGAUUCCUCAUUCACUCAAUAAAUAAAUCAUAUCUUUUCCAUCGUGCUCCUUUCUAAUGCUCUGGUGUCUACGGAGGCUGCUCCACUGCAGACAUUUGAGCUUCUUGACACAAAGUGUGAAGCUGUGAUGCUUGCCAUGUGUGAUAUCACAGUCUACAAGAAUGAAGUGGGUAUAUUAGCGUUCAGAAUGAGAAUCUACGAGAGACUAAGCUACAGUCUUAUACCACCAACUUAAAGGAACAGCAUAGCAUUGCAAAACUUUGAUGUAUACUCUAGCCUCCAGAAAUUGAUUACUGACAUAAAUGCACUUAAGAGCCUUCACGUUUAUCAUUGAUGAUUCCUCAUUCGUGCAAUAAAUAAAUCAAAUCUUUUUUAUCAACAACAACAACAAAAAAAAAACAAGUGUAAUCCCACAAAAGUGGGAUCCGGAGAGGGUAGUUGAU
rnacentral:lncRNA from 1 species